AGAGUUUGAUCCUGGCUCAGGAUGAACGCUGGCGGCGUGCCUAACACAUGCAAGUCGAGCGAGGGUUUGCUCAGUAUUGAGUAUUCUAAGUCUAGAAUGUUCAAUUCUGAGCAAAACCAAGCGGCGGACGGGUGAGUAACGCGUGGGUAACCUGCCCUAUACACAUGGAUAACAUACUGAAAAGUUUACUAAUACAUGAUAAUAUAUAUUUGCGGCAUCGCAGAUAUAUCAAAGUGUUAGCGGUAUAGGAUGGACCCGCGUCUGAUUAGCUAGUUGGUGAGAUAACUGCCCACCAAGGCGACGAUCAGUAGCCGACCUGAGAGGGUGAUCGGCCACAUUGGAACUGAGACACGGUCCAAACUCCUACGGGAGGCAGCAGUGGGGAAUAUUGCACAAUGGGGGGAACCCUGAUGCAGCGACGCCGCGUGAGCGAAGAAGGUUUUCGAAUCGUAAAGCUCUGUCCUAUGAGAAGAUAAUGACGGUAUCAUAGGAGGAAGCCCCGGCUAAAUACGUGCCAGCAGCCGCGGUAAUACGUAUGGGGCGAGCGUUGUCCGGAAUUAUUGGGCGUAAAGGGUACGUAGGCGGCCUUUUAAGUCAGGUGUGAAAGCGUGAGGCUUAACCUCAUUAAGCACUUGAAACUGGAAGGCUUGAGUGAAGGAGAGGAAAGUGGAAUUCCUAGUGUAGCGGUGAAAUGCGUAGAUAUUAGGAGGAACACCAGUGGCGAAGGCGACUUUCUGGACUGUUACUGACACUGAGGCACGAAAGCGUGGGGAGCAAACAGGAUUAGAUACCCUGGUAGUCCACGCCGUAAACG
rnacentral:rRNA from 1 species